GGCUGCCCAACAGAUAAAAGGCCGCACACGGCGAGAUCCUGACAAGUUUACAGAAACGAAGAAUAUAACUCAACACAACACGUGUCUGGCCAAUCAAAUAAUUUGGACGGAAUUAUAAAGAGCACGGAGAUGGUAUCCUAUCCGGAGUGGAACACUUUGUUUGGGAGGACCCCAGCGUUAGUGUGGAGGAGCAACAGAAGAGAAAUUCCUAUGGCAAAGGCUUGUCUGUUU